GGGUAUCUAUAGAUUUUUUGAAUUUUAUUUCUUAAAGUAUUCCCUCCAACUAGUUGUUAUUUAAUUGUUGGAAGGGGCAAAAUUUUUCUUUUUAACAUUUUUAGAUUUUAUUUUUUUAAUUUAAAAUUUUCCAAAAAUGCCCCUCUAACUAGUGAUUUAUUGAGCUGUUAUAAGGGAAAAUUGAUUAUUUUUUCAAACAUCUGAUUAUUGGCAACUAUCGGUAAUGUUACCAUUUAGUUUUUCCUUUUCUCCUUUGGUUUUGGUUUGAAAUCACUAAAACAUUGACCAAUUUAAUUUCGGCCUAUUCCAUUUCAGUUUAAAUAAGGCUACAGUAGGGU
rnacentral:lncRNA from 1 species